CGACCCUGUCGGUGUGACCGAGUGGAAUAACUCGGUGGCACCGAGAUGCAUAACUGUUGACAGUUACAGCAACUCGGUGUGACCGAAAAGUUCAAAUCGGUUGCACCGAGGUGAAAACCUAGAUCGACUUAGUGAUCUUGGUAUGACCGAAAUGGAGGAAUCGGUCAGACCGAAAAGCACAAAGAAGUUUUGGAAGUUUAAGUCUAUGACAAAUCAGGGACUCCGAGUGCUCCUCACACAGAGUGGUUUGAAUCUGACUUGAUCAAAUUUUGUGAUGUAGCAUGAAUAGAGUUUGAGAUGAGAAAAGCAUAGAUAGCUAGAGAGGGUUCUUAGGCAUUGUUGUCCAUCCACUUGGCAAAAGAAAAGAAAACCAAUCAAUCAAAACAACAAGUGGAUGUCCUCGAAUGAGUAAAAUAUGCAAUCAACAUGCUCACACAAUAAAAUGGGAAUUGAAAUAUGUGGCAAAGCAUGCACAACCAAUUCUAGCAUCUAUCAAGCAAUUGGCGAUGACUAGGUCAUCUAUAUAUGAGUAUAUUGACUUAGGAGUCAAAUGAGAACAUUUGAUCAUAGGUCAUACUCAUCGUUUAAGCACAAGUGGGGUUACCACUUUUACAUAAAGCAUUGUUGUGUUCACACCAUUAGAGUUGCUUUAGCUCAAGUCUUAGAGUAAAGCUCCCCCUAGAUGUGAUAUCCCCCCUAAGAGGGAUGAAGUAACCUUGGGUUUUGUCGAUGAUGACUUCAUGUAGAUGUUGAAGAUGUCGAUGCUCGAUGUUGAUGUAGAUCAAUUGGAGCUAUCCAUUGGAGUGAAUUGCACUUUCAAUACCUACAUGGGUUAGUCCCACAAGGAACAAGCAAGAAUAUCCAUAGACAUAGAGUGAUGCACAUACAAGAUGAUGUCUAUGAAAGCUUUUAGGUUACCUUGUCCCUUGACUUACCAACAAGAGGGUUUGUGACUCCUUGAACUAGUGCAAGAUGUGGAAGUUGAUUGCACUUAUUCUUGCCAAAAUGAUAAGAGUGAAGUAUGUUGGCGGAGUCACCCUCAAGAACUCUCUAGUUCUUCUUCUUUUGGAUCCACGCCAUCUUGAUGGGAAUCCUUGGAAUUGUAGUUGUACUUGAUGAAGUGGAACUUGAAGUAUUCUUGGGAAUCCACUUGACUAAGGUCUUAGGAGCUUCUUCAAAUGCAUCAAUUUCCUCUUGAAGCUUGUCCUUGCCUUUUUGCUUGUAGUCUUGUGGUGGAAGAUCAUCUUGAGCUUGUGUCCCUUUGAAAGAAGUGGGAUCAUACUUCUCUUGUUGAGGAACAAACUUUGUCUUGGGGUAUUGAUCUUCUUCCCACUCAACUCCAUUGGCAUUGAACUUUCGUUCAAAACCAACACCUUGAUUCUUCCGGUGCCUUCCUUGCUUGCGUACAAUUUCCUCGAAUUGCUUACUUCCGGCAAGGCUCUUGUAAACUCCUUUCUCUAUAAUUCCCUUCAAUAGGCUAUUUUCUUGCUCAAGUGUAACUUGGCUAAGAGAAUCAUUAGUGGAAUCAAGAGAACUACUAGAAGCAACAAUAUUGGAUUUAACAUGAUCAUUGUUACUACUAGAGGAAGAAUCUUUCUUGUUCUUGUUACUAGACUUGACUUGAGGCAUAUAAGUGGAUAAGAGUAAACGCUUGGCAAUGUAAGAAGAACUUUUCUUACGAAGAUCAUCAUUGAUUGCUUUUAAGAACUCAUGCUCUUGCUCAAGGUUGAGCUUUUCAAAGCGUAAUUUCUCAUGUGUCCUUAAAAGUUAUCGAUGAUCUCCUAAGAUAGUUUCAUGAGCUAACUUAAGAGUGUUUAGUUCUUUAGUUAGAGACUCAAUCUUCUCCUUAUCACUGUCAUUCGUUUUAUCUUUAUUAGCAUGAUUAAUUGACGUUUCAUCAUAGUAUUCAUCACUAGAGUUGUCAACAAGUAAAUCAUCAUCACCUAACAAGUCAUCUUCAUCACUAUUGAAAUCAACAUACUCGGGAUGUGAUACCUUUGGGCCUUUAGCCAUGAAGCAUGUUCCAACUCCUUCAUUUGGUGAGUCAAAUAUGUCGUAGGAGUUGGUUGACACAAGUGCUAGACGGGCAACACCUUCAUCUUGAGUAUAUUCGAAAUUGGAGUGAUAGCUUCUCUCGGAGUGGUUGUCGGAGUCGGAGCCGGAUACCCAUUCACCAACAUGAGCUUGAUGUCUUUGUUUUGUGUAGCUCCUUGAUGACUUUUCUUUUCUUUCCGAAUCCUUGCUUCUCCGUGAGUGUCUUCGUUCAUAACGAUCAUCUCUACUCCUUCUUUCUCUAGAUGGUGAUUCUUCUCUUCUACUUAUUCUUUUGGGAGAGUCUUCUCUUCUCUUGUAGGGAGCCGUACACUCAUUGGAAUAGUGUCCGGGUCUUCCACAAUUGUAGCAGUUUCGCUCUCGACUAGAAGAUCUUUUGUCAUUGUAGGACCUUGACUUGGAGCUUCUAUCUUUGCUUCUACUCUUGUAGAACUUGUUGAAGUUCUUCACCAUUAAGCUCAAUUCUUCAUUGAAGGUUUGCUUCUCACUUGAUUAUGUGGGGGCUUCACAUGAGGCUUUGUAAGCACCACUUGAUUUUUUGUGAAGUUCCUCUUUAUCCUUGAGUGACAUCUCAUCAGCAACAAUUCUUCCAAUGACUUCCGUUGGCUUGAGAUCUUUAUAAUUUGGCAUCAUUUGGAUCAAUGUGCACACGGUAUCAUAUUUUCCAUCCAAGGCUCUUAGGAUCUUCUUGAUGAUGAAUCUAUCGGUCAUCUCUUCACUCCCUAGGCCGGCAAUCUCAUUUGUGAUAAGAGCAAGCCUAGAGUACAUUUCAGCGACACCUUCACCAUCCUUCAUUUUGAACUUGUCAAGUUGACUUUGGAGCACAUCCAAUUUGGAUUCCUUGAUGGAUUCGGUACCUUCGUGCAUAUCAAUCAAAGUAUCCCAAAUUUCCUUUGCAUUCUCGAGACGGCUGAUUUUGUUGAAUUCUCCGGGGCACAAUCCGUUGAAGAGAAUAUCACAAGCUUGAGAGUUGUAUUGCAGCAUCUUAAACUCUUCCGCGGUAGCUUCACGGUUUGGUUCUUUCCCAUCAAAGAAGUCAGCUUGCAAGCCAACACACACAAUAGCCCAAACGGCAGGGUUAUGUCCAAGAAUAUGCAUUUUCAUCUUAUGCUUCCAACUAGAAAAAUUAGUACCAUCAAAGUAAGGACCUCUACGGUGGUAAUUUCCCUCGCUAGACGCCAUACUCUCCUAGGUUGUGAAACCAAGGCUAUGACCACCAAAAGCUAUGGAAAUCAAAGCAAAUGGAGACCAAAGCUCUGAUACCACUUGUAGGAUCGGAAGUAUGUCUAGAGGGGGCGUGAUUAGACUACUUGACCAAAUAAAAAUCUAGCCUUUUCCCAAUUUUAGUUCUUGGGAGAUUUUAGCUAUCUUAGCACAAGUCAAGCAAUCUCCACACAAUUCAAGCAAGCAUGCAAAAAGAGUAUAUGAGCAGUGGAAAGUAAAGCAUGCAACUUGCAAGAAUGUAAAGGGAAGGGUUUGGAGGAUUCAAACGCAAUUGGAGACACGGAUGUUUUUGGCGUGGUUCCGAUAGGUGGUGCUAUCGUACAUCCACGUUGAUGGAGACUUCAACCCACGGAGGGUAACAGUUGCGCGAGUCCACGGAGGGCUCCACCCACGAAGGGUCCACGAAGAAGCAACCUUGUCUAUUCCAUCACGGCCGUCGCCCACGAAGGACUUGCCUCACUAGCGGUAGAUCUUCACGAAGUAGGCGAUCUCCUUGCCCUGACAAACUCUUUGGUUCAACUCCACAAUCUUGUCGGAGGCUCCCAAGUGACACCUAGCCAAUCUAGGAGACACCACUCUCCAAGAAGUAACAAAUGGUGUGUUGAUAAUGAACUCCUUGCUCUUGUGCUUUAAAUGAUAGUCUCCCCAACACUCAACUCUCUCUCACAGGAUUUGGAUUUGAUGGAAAUAUGAUUUGAGUGGAAAGCAACUUGGGGAAGGCUAGAGAUCAAGAUUCAUAUGGUAGGAAUGGAAUAUCUUGAGCUCAACACAAGUGUAGGUGGUUCUCUCUCAGAACAUGUGUAUUGGAAGUGUAGAUGUGUUCUGAUGGCUCUCUCUUCGAAUGAACAGUGGGUGGAGGGGUAUAUAUAGCCUCCACACAAAAUCUAACCGUUACACACAAUCUGCCAAACUCGAUGGGACCGAAUCGUUUAACUCGGUCGGACCGAUUCAGCAAACCUAGUGACCGUUAGGAUUUUCGGUGGGACUGAGAUGCAACUCGGUAGGACCGAUAUGGUUAGGGUUUGGGCAUAACGUAAUCUCGGUGUGACCGAUUACACAAACCCGGUGGGACCGAUUUUGGUAAUAUGCUAACCAAUGGUUGGUCAGGUAAACUCGAUGGGACCGAUCCACUCUUUUCGAUGAGACCGAUAUGUUACGAAAAGGAGACAGUGAGUUUACAUUGCAAUCUUGGUGGGACCGAUCACUCACUUUGGUUAGACUGAAACAUUACGAAGGGAAACAGGGAAAUUUCAAUCCCAUCUCAGUGAGACCGAGAUCCUUAUCGGUGAAACCGAAUUGCUAGGGUUUGUGGCAAUGGCUAUGACAUGUGAAACUCGGUGGCGCCGAAUAGAAAGAAUCGGUGGGGCUGAGUUUGACUUUUGGUUUAGGUCAAAUGUGGAUGUGGGAAGAUAGUUGAGGGUUUUGGAGCAUAUCACUAAGCACAUGAACCAAGAGGCUCAUUAAGAAACACCUCAUCCCUUCUCAAUAGUAUUGGCUUUUCCUAUAGACUCAAUGUGAUCUUGGAUCACUAAAAUAUAAAAUGUAGAGUCUUGAUCUUGAAGUUUGAGCCAAUCCUUUGUCCUUAUAAUUUUGAGGGAUCCACUUUCCUCAUCCAUGCCAUGCCAUCCAUUGAGCUUUUCCUGAAAUAUUCAUCUUGGAAUAAUGUUAGCUCAAUGAGCUAUAUGUUGUUAGGAAUUACCAAAACCACCCAGGGAUAGUUGCACUUUCAAUCUCCCCCCUUUUGGUAAUUGAUGACAACAUAUAGAUCAAAGCUUCGACAAAUGAUAAUAAGAAUGAAAAAUAUCGUCACUUUGAGAAGUAUGUGAUAAGCAAGAGCUCCCCCUAAAUUUGAGCAUAUUUUAAGAUUUGCUUUGGACUACAAAUGCACAAUGAGUUAGGAUCAUGGGUUACUCUUCCAUGUCACAUACAUCUUGGUGGAGCGCUCAAAAUGAUAAGAAUUAAAUACAUGCACUCAUCACCAAGCAAAGUGAAUGAUCAAAAUAAGGAUAAACUGAUAGUAACAUCCAACAAGCAUUAAGUGUAGCUUAUGAUCAAACACAUGAUCAUCAAUGUCUCACAGAUUAAGGCAUAGUAUCUCAAGCACUCAAAAGCAAAUAAAGUUUCAACCAAGAAGACAAGAGAGAACAAAUGCAAACACUCUCUCUCGAAGCCUAUGAUCUAUACAUUUUUCUCCCCCUUUGGCAACAAGUUACCAAAAAGUUCAUAGAAAAUGCAUAGCACUAAACGACUCUCAGGCUUGGUCUUCAGUUGGUGGAGUCCGGAUGACGCCAAGGACGAAAGCUUCAGUAGAAGUGGUUGGAGCUGCUGGGGUAGGAGCUGGAGCUGGUGGAACUGAGGCUGUAGCUAGUGCAGAAGUGGUGGCUCUGGUGUCAGGAACUGGCACUGCAGACGAUCUCUAAGCUCUGGGCACUCUGCCAAAUGCAUCAGUUGUGGUCUUGCCCUUCCUCUCCUGCAUAUCAUCCUGCAGUUGCUCCAUGGCAGACUGAAUCUCAGUUACUUUCACAUCUAGGUCAUAGAACUUUUGUUCCAUGAUUCUUUCCAAGCUCUCUUGGUUUCGAGUCAGGGUGGCCAAUCCUUUCUCAAUCCUCAGAGUGGAUGCUAUCAGGUAACUGAGCUGCUCCUGCUUGUCCUUCAAGAAGUACUCAGAUGCCUCCUCUUGAGUUGGCAUCUUGGCAGCUUUCUCCAUCUUUGCCUUCUCCUUCUUUGCUUGAGCAUGUGCUGAUGAUGGUUCAUUCUCAUUCAUGACAACUUGAUUGUCCUCAAAGUCUGGAUGGAUGGGCAGGUGUUCCUUAUCCAACAGGUAUGUGCCUGUGCCCAUCUUUGAGUUAAUCAACUCCUGAAUUUGUGGGGCAUAUCCACAGCUCCUCUUCUGAUCAGAUGUUGUCCUCUUAAUGGUCUCUACCAUGAGGCUCAUCACCUUGAAUUUUUGAGGCACAUCAAAUAUGUGAAGCAAUUUUAUUGCAUGGCCUCGGAUCAUCUUUUGAUCACCCGACUUGGGCAAGAGAGUGUGCCUUAGAAUCCAGUUGAUAGUGGGCAGCCCUGACAGAAGGAAGUGCACUGAGCCAAACUUGAAGGUAUCCAGUGCUUUGUUUGGGAUCUCCUUGUACAUAUUUGACAUGGAAUUGUGAUCCAUCUUCUUCUUGGCAUAGAUGUCCAAGUCAUCUUCCUGCUCUUGUGGGGCAUUGAUCAGCUGUGCCCAUUCAGCAACUGUAGACUGAUAUCUAGUCCCUUUUAACAUCCACACUAUCCUGCCAUCUGGAUAGAAAUGUGCUAUGGAGUAGAAUUGCAUAAUGAGCUCCUCAUUCCACUUUGUGAGCUUUUACCCAACAAAGUCUGCAACUCCACAUGCACUGAAGCUGUCAUACACUCCAGGAUAGUGUUCUUUGUUCUCCUUGAUGUAUUCCCAGUCAACCUAUCUCAUGUCACACACUAUGGGCUUCUUAUCUAGCAGCACUGUCUCAUAGAAAUCCUGCUGUUCCUUGGUGUGAAACCUAUAAUCCACAGCAGUUCUUCUCCUUGAAGCAUAUGGAUUUGCUUCUCUCCACUUCCUCAGCCCUGACUCUCUUCUAAUUUUCAUGUCCUCAGCCACAGGAUGAGCAUCAUUGUGGUCUGGGAUCUUGGGCUUGAGCUUCCUGAGAACUUGUCCUUCUUCUUCUUCAGCAAUAUCAGGCACUGGGGCCUUGUUCUUUUCAGCAGCAGAUAUGUUUGUGGUGUUCCUCUUAGGUGCACUAAGGGAGUCCUGGAUUAGGGGGUGUUUGGGUAACCGGACUAUACCUUCAGCAGGACUCCAGGACUAUGAAGAUACAAGAUUGAAGACUUCGUCUCGUGUCCGGAUGGGACUUUCCUUGGCGUGGAAGGCAAGCUUGGCAAUGCAGAUAUUCAAGAUCUCCUACCAUUGUAACCGACUCUGUGUAACCCUAACCCUAUCCGGUGUCUAUAUAAACCGGAGGGUUCUAGUCUGUAGGACAACUCCAUCAUACAACAAUCAUACCAUAGGCUAGCUUCUAGGGUUUAGCCUCCUUGAUCUCGUGGUAGAUCUACUCUUGUACUACCCAUAUCAUCAAUAUUAAUGAAGCAGGAGUAGGGUUUUACCUCCAUCGAGAGGGCCCGAACCUGGGUAAAAACACCGUGUCCCUUUUCUCCUGUUACCAUCCGCCUAGAUGCAUAGUUCGGGACCCCCUACCUGAGAUCCGCCGGUUUUGACACCGACAUUGGUGCUUUCAUUGAGAGUUCCUCUGUGUCGUCACUUUUAGGCCCGAUGGCUCCUCUGAUCAUCGACAAUGAUGCGGUCCAGGGUGAGACUUUUCUUCCCGGACAGAUCUUCGUCUUCGGCGGCUUCGCACUGCGGGCCAAUUUGCUUGGCCACUUGGAGCAGAUCGAAAGCUACGCCCCUGGCCAUCAGGUCAGGUUUGGAAGCCUAAACUACACGGAGGACAUCCGCGGAGAUUUGAUCUUCGACGGAUUCGAGCCACAGCCAAGCGCGCCGCACUGUCUCGAGGGGCAUGAUCUAGCUCUGCCGCCGAACAGUGCCCUGGAGGUCGCAAACGCGCCGGUUCUGACCCUUAAUUCGGAGCCUGCUGCACCAAUUGAGGAUGAGCGGUUGGACGUCACCUCGGGGGCUGCGAUCUCAAAGGCGAUCGAGCUGAACGCCAGCCCCGUACUCUGCAUGACCCGUGACUCCGAGGAUCCGGACUCCUAUCCGGACUCCGAACCCCCCGUGCCCAGGCCGAUCGAAUCCGAUUGGGCGUCGAUAUUAGAGUUCACCGCCGCGGACAUCUUUCAGCACUCGCCCUUCGGCGACAUCCUGAACUCACUCAAGUCUCUCUCUUUAUCAGGAGAGACAUGGCCGGACUACGGUCAACAAGGAUGGGAUGUGGACGAUGAAGAAAUUCAAAGCCCACCCACCACCCACUUUGUAGCCACUGUCGACGAUUUAACCGACAUGCUUGACUUCGACUCCGAAGACAUCGACAGUAUGGACGACUAUGCAGGAGAUGAACAGGAACCAGCACCUAUAGGGCGCUGGAAGGCCACCUCGUCAUAUGAUAUAUACAUGGUGGAUACUCCAAAAGAUGGAGAUGGCGAUGGAACAGCGGAGGAUGACACCUCCAAGAAACAGCCAAAGCGCCGGCGUCAGCGGCGCCGCUCGAAAUCCCGCCAAAGCAAAAACGGUGAUUCCGGCACGGGAGAUAAUACUACCCCGAAUAGCGCCGAAGAACACCCCCUAUAGCAAGAUUCAGCACAGGAAGAUGGAGAAGCCAGCCCUCAUGAGAGAGCGGCAGACCGAGAGGUUGAGGAUGAUAACUAUAUGCCUCCCUCCGAAGACGAGGCAAGCCUCGACGACGACGAAUUCGUCGUACCAUCAGACCCCGCCGAACAAGAGCUUUUCAAACGCAGGCUUUUAGCCACGAUAAGCAGCCUCAAGAAAAAGCAGCAACAGCUUAGAGCCGAUCAAGAUUUGUUAGCAGACAGAUGGACUGAAGUCCUUGCGGCCGAAGAGUACGAACUCGAACGCCCCUCCAAGAGUUACCCAAAGCGCAGGCCGUUGCCCCGAUCAGAGGAGAAGCACCUACAUCACCAGUGCACGACAUGGCUGUUUGGCCACCCCGCGGCCGCGACAGAGAGGCCUCUCGGCCCUCCACCAAAUGCAUGCCCCGGCGUCGUUCAACCAAGGCACGGGAAAAUGCGCCAGACCUGCGAGACGUACUGGAGGACAAGGCAAGACAAACAAGAUCGAUCUAUAGAUCGCGCAGGCGCCCCACGGCACAUGACGGUGAUCUUCAUUCCGGAUACAACAAAUCCGGCCGGGCCGGACACAACAGACAUAGGUCCUUCGAGCUGCGUCAUGAUAUAGCCCAGUAUAGAGGCGCCGCACACCCACUAUGCUUCACAGAUGAAGUAAUGGAUCAUAAAAUCCCAGAGGGUUUCAAACCCAUAAACAUCGAAUCAUAUGAUGGAACAACAGAUCCUGCGGUAUGGAUUGAGGAUUAUCUCCUUCACACCCACAUGGCCCGCGGCGAUGAUCUACAUGCCAUCAAAUACCUCCCGCUCAAACUUAAAGGACCGGCCCGACAUUAGCUUAACAACUUGCCAGCAAACUCAAUCGGUUCUUGGGAGGACCUGGAAGCCGCAUUCCUCGACAACUUCCAGGGCACUUAUGUGCGACCACCGGAUGCCGAUGACUUAAGCCACACAAUUCAGCAGCCAGAGGAAUCGGCCAGGCAAUUCUGGACACGGUUCCUAACAAAGAAAAACCAGAUAGUCGACUGUCCGGACGCAGAGGCCCUAGCAGCCUUCAAACAUAAUAUCCGCGAUGAGUGGCUUGCCCGGCACCUGGGACAGGAAAAGCCGAAGUCCAUGGCAGCCCUCACGACACUCAUGACCCGCUUUUGCGCGGGAGAAGACAGCUAGCUAGCUCGCAGUAACAACUUAGCAAAGAACCCUGGUAAUUCGGAUACCAAGGACAAAAGUGGCAGGACACGUCGGAAUAAGCAAAAGCGCCACGUUAGCAGCGACAGCAACGAAGACACGGCAGUUAAUGCCGGAUUCAGAGGCUAUAAAUCCGGUCAGCGGAAAAAGCCAUUCAAAAAGAAUACUCAGGGCCCGUCCAGUUUGGACCGAAUACUCGACCGCUUGUGCCAGAUACAUGGCACCCCCGAAAGGCCAGCCAAUCACACCAACAGGGAUUGUUGGGUGUUCAAGCAGGCAGGCAAGCUAUGAGCCGAAAAUAAAGACAAGGGGCUGCAUAGCGAUGACGAGGAGGAGCCCAGGCCGCCGACCAACAAUGGACAGAAGGGUUUUCCCCCACAAGUGCGGACGGUGAACAUGAUAUACGCAACCCACAUUCCCAAGAGGGAGCGGAAACGUGCGCUACGGGACGUAUACGCGAUGGAGCCAGUCGCCCCAAAGUUCAACCCAUGGUCCUCCUGCCCGAUCACCUUUGAUCGAAGGGACCACCCCACUACCAUCCGUCACGGCGGCUUCGCCGCAUUGGUCCUCGACCCAAUUAUCGACAUAUUUCAUAUCACAAGAGUCCUCAUGGACGGCGGAAGUAUCCUGAACCUGCUUUACCAGGAUACAGUGCGGAAAAUGGGCAUAGAUCCCUCGAGGAUUAAGCCCACAAAAACGACCUUUAAAGGCAUUAUACCAGGUGUAGAGGCCAACUAUACAGGCUCAGUAACACUUGAAGUGGUCUUCCGAUCUCCGGACAAUUUCCAAAGCGAAGAGUUAAUCUUCGAUAUAGUCCCGUUUCGCAGUGGCUAUCACGCCCUGCUCGGGCGAACCGCAUUUGCAAAGUUCAAUGCGGUGCCACACUACACAUAUCUCAAGCUAAAUAUGAUAUGCCCUCGAGGAGUAAUUACGGUCAACGGAAACACCGAAUGUUCCCUCCGUACGGAGGAGCACACGGCGGCUCUCGCAGUGGAAGUACAAAGUAGCCUUCUUAGGCAAUUCUCUGGUCUGGCCGUUAAAAAGCCAGACACUGCCAAGCGCGCCCGGAGUAACCUACAACAAGACCGCCUGGCAUGUACUGAGCAGGCGUAGCAAUGCGGCCCCAACCCCAGCCCUCGCGACAUAGCGAAACCAGUGCCUCGCGUACAUAACUACGCUCUUGAAAUACCAUGGGCGCAGGGGAAGGGGCACAAUAACGGCAAGCCCAAAAUACGGCUUAAAACGUACUAGGGGCUGCCGAAUUCUUUUUUUUAAUUUUCUCUUACUUUCAGGACUCCAUACUUCGGACGACCUGUUCGGCAUUCAACUGCCGCACAAAGGAUGCAAGACCCAAGGAAGCAGACAAACCAUGCCGCAUUAUGGAACUCCCAGGUGGUCUCUGUUAUGAGCAGUAUACAUGUUUUGGCAUACAAUUCCGCGGCCUGCCCCUAGCCAGGACAUGUUAAAUAGUCCAAUACCUUUUGCUUAUCGCACUACUUGUAUAAUUUGGCUUUGAUAGCAGCCUUUCUAUAAACAAUGCAUAGCUUUUUGUCUAUUUUUUGCAUUAUCCUCUUUUCAUAUAUAUGUUUAUUAAAUAACAUGUUGCACCCGUACACCAUGGUACGGCAAACACGCCAGGGGCUUCAGUACCCCUCAAUAUGGUGUGAGAAGCCCGUACACUUCCACAAGUGCGGCACCCCAAACUUAUAGCACUAUAUGCAUCGGCUCCGAAUCAUGAUUUGGGUCAAUAGUUGGGUUUGCCCGGCUCCUAUGUUUUGGUGCCUUACGCUCCGCUAUAUCGGCUAAGGUAGCACUAGGAGAACCACUGCGAUUGUGCCCCGGUUGAGCUGGGUUAAGCACCUCAGUGGAGAAAGCUAAAACUGACUGUCAUGAUGGGGCGAGAGACUGGUUGCUGUUCGAGAGGUUUUUCGAGUCCCUAAAGACUUAUGCCGCUUCGAGCGAGGAGCCGGCUUUGUCCGGCCAAGGCGUGGAUAGCGCCCUGAACUCGGUCUUCCGAACUAGGGGCUUCGUCGAAAAUUAAAAUUAUAGAGUUCUAUGGCUAAGUGAGAGUGUUCAAGCAUUAUAGUCCGGUUGCCUGGUUCGUUGUGCUGAGCGCCUCCCUCGAAGGACCCAACUAUGGGAAAAAGAGCGCUCGGGUUUAUCCCGAACACCCCGGCACUAGUGGCACGGGGGCAGAAGCCGACGACUGGCCAUCUCUCAAUUUUUUGAUAAACGGCCGCAUAGAAAGUGAUAUUUUAAAUUCAACAAGCAUUGCUUAGCGCAUAUGAACAAGUUUUCAGCGCACAGGAUAAACACGAGCGAGUUCAUUCAAAAAUUACAUCCUUGGUACAUUCAUCCGCCACAAGGCAGGCACCCGCAAGAACAUCCUUAUAGUAAUUCUCGGGCUUGCGAUGCUCCUUCCCCGGCGGUGGCCCGUCCCUCACAAGCUUCUCACCGUCCAGCUUACCCCAGUGCACCUUUGCACGGGCAAGGGCCCUACGGGCACCUUCGAUGCAGACGGAGCGCUUGAUGACAUCGAGCCUUGGACAGGCCUCCACCAGCCGCCGCACCAGCUCAAAUUAGCUCCCAGGCAGGGCCUCUCCGGGCCCCAGCCGAACUAUGAAGCCCUUCAUGGCCUGUUCGGCCGCCUUGUGGAGCUCGACCAGCUGUUUCAGCUGGUCGCUCAAGGGCACAGGGUGUCCGGCCUCAGCAUACUGAGACCAGAACACCUUCUCUGUCGAGCUGCCCUCCUCAGCUCGGUAGAAUGCGGCAGCGGCGGAUACGCUGCAGGGAAGAUCUGCGAAUGCCCCUGGAGUGCUCCGGAUUCGGGUAAGUAACAAGUAGUUUACUUUUAUAUUUCUGCUUUGCAUAAAGAAUGCCUUACCCGCUGCUAUCUUUUUCAUCUCCUCCAACUCUUGGAGGGCCUUUUGGGCUUCGGCCUUGGCAGACUUGGCAGUCUCAAGGGCCGCCGCGAGCUCGGACGCUUGCGUCUUUGACUCAAGCUCCAAACUCUCAUGUUUUUUCAUGAGAGCCUGAAGCUCUUGCUGCACCUCGCCGACCUGGGCCUCAAAUUUCUCUCGCUCGGUGCGCUCCGCGGCCGCUUUCUUUUUGGCCUCGGACAACACCUGCUUGAGGGUCGCCACCUCAGUCGUGGCCCCUACAAUAAGCAGUACAAUCCUGUUAUUUUUUGCAAUCACUUCUUUCUAUAGGCACUUUUUCUGUAAGGUAUUUCUUACCUUCUUUCUCCUCGAGCUGCCGCUUGGCAAGGCCGAGCUCUUGCUCGGCCCGCUCGAGUCCCUGUUUAAGGGCACCCACCUCCGCAAUCAGGGCGGCGGUGGCUAGCAGCGAAGCCUGCAUACGCAUAUUGACUCUUUGCUGUUAGACUCCUGCGAAAUUUAAUAGAUCCUCUAUGCGGCUUUUCUUUCCGAAUGCCAAACAGAGCAUCAGGGGCUACUGUCUAUGCGGUUAUAUUCUUACAUAGUUUUUACUUACCUUGAAGCCUUUUAGAAGGCUAGCGCAAGCUUCGUUCAGUCCGCUCUUGGCAGACUGAACCUUCUGGAUCACCGUACUCAUAAUAGUAUGGUGCUCCUCGUCGAUGGAGGCACCGUCAAGCACGUCCAGCAGGUUGUCCAGCACCUCCGGUUGGACGGAGGCCGCCGGCUCAGAAGGCUUGCUCCUCUUGGAAGGAGUUCGCCUACCGCGGUCCGGAACUAUUGAAGAUUCUGGCGCGGUGUCCGGCUCAAAGCCAGACUUGGAGCCCUGGGGGGUCUUGUCCCCUUUACUCCUGGGGUCUGGGAGGUCGCCUUGCGGCUCCUCCAGGACCACCUCCUCCUGCCCCGGAGCUCGUUGCGACGCCACUUCGGCACCGUCCGCAGCACGGGGGGAGACAGCGGGCGGAACUAAGUUCACAUCCGAUGAGUCCAGGGAACCGCUCGACGACUCGUUGAGUUCGGCCCGGGGCGGCCUGCAUAAUUAUGUUCGACGUUAGGGAAAGCUGUGCAACAAAGGAACGUCAUGAGUUACUCUGAUAUCCGAAUACUUACGAUUUCGCUGGACGCUUGGCCCUAUCUGGCCAAUCCUCUUCGCCCUCUUCGGCGUCGGGGGAGUAGUUCGGCGGAGGGGUCUUCCUCUUCCUGGACCCUUCGGCCUCCCCCGUUGGGGCGACCUUCCUUUUCUUUCCUCCCCCCGCUGGAGUGGGAGAGUUUUCUUCUUCCUCCUCCUCGUUCUCCCCCCGCAGGCGCAGUCGCACUUUCAAGUCCCCGUGGCCUUCUUCUCCGGCACCACAUAAGGUGCCGGAACCAGCAGCUUCACUAGGAGAGCAGGAGCUGGGUCUUCGGGCAAGGGAGCCGGACAGUUAAUCGAUCCGGACUGCGCCUGCCAAGCCUGUCAAAGGUGAGGGAGUUUAGAUCCCGCAUAGAGUCAAACUAUGAAAUAACUUACCAUCCUGUAAGAGGAGAAAAUAGCUUACCUCGCUAGCGUGACGCUGCGAGCUGUAUCCGCGGUCCUCGGAAGCGGAUGUGGGAGCCUUGGCGCCUUUGGUUAGCACCUUCCAGUCAUCUUCAUACGUCGUGUCGAAGAGCCUGUUAAGGGUUUGGUGCCGCGCCGAGUCGAACUCCCACAGAUUGAAGUCCCGUUGUUGACACGGGAGGAUCCGGCGGACGAGCAUAACCUGGACUACAUUGACAAGCUUGAUUGGCUUGCUCACCAGGGACUGGAUGCAUGUCUGCAGUCCGGUCACCUCUUUUUCUUCGCCCCACGACAGGCCCGUCUCUUUCCAGGACAUAAGCCGCGUGGGGGGUCAGGAUAGGAACUCGGGGGCGGCGAUCCAUUUCGGAUCGCGCAGCUCGGUGAUGUAAAACCACCACAAUUGCCACCCCUUCAGGGUCUCCAUGAAGGAGCCCUCGAGCCAUAGGACGUUGGCCAUCUUGCCCGCCAUGGUGCCUACGCACUCCGCCUGGCUGCCGCGCACCACCUUGGGCUUGAAGUUGAAGGUCUUGAGCCAGAGGACGAAAUGGGGGUGGAUGCAGAGGAAAGCCUCGCACACGACGAUAAACGUCGAGAUGUUGAGGACGAAGUUCGGGGCCAGAUCGUGGAAAUCCAGGCCGUAGUAGAACAUGAGCCCCCGGACAAAUGGGUGGAGUGGAAAACCCAGUCCGUGGAGGAAGUGGGGAAGGAAUACUACCCUCUCAUGGGGCCAUGGGGUGGGGAGAAUCUGCCCUGCCUCGGGAAGCCGGUGCACGAUGUCCUUGGACAAGUAUCCGGCCUUCCUUAGCUUCUUAACAUGGCCCUCCGUGACAGAGGAGACCAUCCACUUGCCUCCCUCUCCGGACAUGGCUGGAGAAGGUUGAGGUGGGAAGUGCGGGCUUGGGUGCUGGAGCUCGAGCACGCAGGAGAUGGGUAGGUAAAGGAGGAAGAAGGCGUAGGUAAAAAGGUGGAUCCUUAUCCCCUUAUAUGGGCGGAUGCGGUUGUGCGUCCCCACCAGCCUAGUAAAACUUGCUUGCCUCCCAAGCGCCGUGAUAAAUGGCACGGUUGGGUUACCCACGUCCGUAUUGAUGAGAAUCCCGUAAAAGGGGGCACACGAUCUCUGCUUUGACAAGACGUGCCAAGGAAACCGCCUCGCAAAACGUGAUGAGGCGGAAAAGUGAAAACGAUUCAAGUAAAGGACUUGGCCGUAGUGUGAUGUCACGCCGCGGAAUGCGUCAGCAGAUUAGAUUUGUGUUAAUAUUAUUCUCUCUAUGAAGAACUUGGAGGAGGAACCCGCCUUGCAAUGCCGAAGACAAUCUGCGCGCCGGACUCGUCGUCAUUGAAGCCUGGUUCAGGGGCUACUGAGGGAGUCCUGGAUUAGGGGGUGUUCGAGUAACCAGACUAUACCUUCUGCCGGACUCCAGGACUAUAAAGAUACAAGAUUGAAGACUUCGUCCCGUGUCCGGAUGGGACUUUCCUUGGCGUGGAAGGCAAGCUUGGCGAUGUGGAUAUUCAAGAUCUCCUACCAUUGUAACCGACUCUGUGUAACCCUAACCCUAUCCGGUGUCUAUAUAAACCGAAGGGUUCUAGUCCAUAGGACAACUCCAUCAUACAACAAUCAUACCAUAGGCUAGCUUCUAGGGUUUAGCCUCCUUGAUCUCGUGGUAGAUCUACUCUUGUACUACCCAUAUCAUCAAUAUUAAUCAAGAAGGAGUAGGGUUUUACCUCCAUCGAGAGGGCCCGAACCUGGGUAAAAACAUCGUGUCCCUUGUCUCCUGUUACCAUCCGCCUAGACGCACAGUUCGGGACCCCCUAUCCGAGAUCCGCCGGUUUUGACACCGACAUGCACUCUUGGGCUUAGAGGCAGCUUUGGGUGCUUCUUUGGUCUUAGAUGAAGUAUCCCCUGUUCUUAUGGCAUCACCCAUAAGCUUCUGUGCCUUGGGUGCUGGUGCAGCAAUCUCUUCCUCUUCUUCUCCCUCAGAGUCUCUCCUCAUGGAGGGUGUGCCAAGAACUCUGGCAGUGGUAGUUCUGACUCUCUUCUUCUUCUUCUUAUCUUGGCCACUUGCUUCCUCUUCAGAUUCCGUGGUAAGCUUCAUGGUUUCUUCAGUUACAGCCUUCCUAGGCUUAGAAGUGGGAACUCUCCUUGCAGGUGCCUUUUUGUGCAUUCCAGGCUUUAUGGCUGCAGCUGACCCAUACUCUUUCUUGAGCACAUUCUUCUUAGAUGUGGCUUCCUCUUCUGCCACAUAAUCCUCAUCCUCUGAUUCAGAAGUUCUCUUCUUGCUAGCUCUAGUGGCAGCAUUAGGCAAGUUGCUUGUGGUGCUCCUGCUACCCUCAUCAGAGCUGCUUGAGGGACUAGUACCCUCACUCAUAUGAACCUGCUCCUCAGAUUUGUUCUGGCUAUCACUCUGAUUAGACAUCAUGCAUACUCUGACUGCUGACCCUGUGAAUAGAUUAUAGAUGAGAUAGAGUGGAUGAACAUCACAAAAUGCAGAGAUUUUUGCAAAAGAAUGAGUCAAAAACUUAGUUUUAGUUUUCCACAGAAACCAUUUUGGAUCAACCGAUUUGCAAACUCGGUGAUACCGAAGCAGCUUUUAGAACCAAAACUAGUGAACUCGGUCAGACCGAGUCACAGUUCGGUGGCACCGAGAUGAAGGAAAUAUGCCCUAGAGGCAAUAAUAAAGUUAUUAUUUAUUUCCUUAUAUCAUGAUAAAUGUUUAUUAUUCAUGCUAGAAUUGUAUUAACCGGAAAAAUAAUACUUGUGUGAAUACAUAGACAAACAAAGUGUCACUAGUAUGCCUCUACUUGACUAGCUCGUUAAUCGAAGAUGGUUAUGUUUCCUAACCAUAAACAAAAGAGUUGUUAUUUGAUUAACGGGAUCACAUCAUUAGGAGAAUGAUGUGAUUGACAUGACACAUUCCAUUAGCUUAGCACCCGAUCGUUUAGUAUGUUGCUAUUGCUUUCUUCAUGACUUAUACAUGUUCCUAUGACUAUGAGAUUAUGCAACUCCCGUUUGCCGGAGGAACACUUUGUGUGCUACCAAACGUCACAACGUAACUGGGUGAUUAUAAAGGAGCUCUAUAGGUGUCUCCAAAGGUACAUGUUGGGUUGGCGUAUUUCGAGAUUAGGAUUUGUCACUCCGAUUGUCGGAGAGGUAUCUCUGGGCCCUCUCGGUAAUGCACAUCACAUAAGCCUUGCAAGCAUUGCAACUAAUGAGUUAGUUGUGAGAUGAUGUAUUACGGAACGAGUAAAGAGACUUGCCGGUAACGAGAUUGACCUAGGUAUUGAGAUACCGACGACCGAAUCUCGGGCAAGUAACAUACCGAUGCCAAAGGGAACAACGUAUGUUGUUAUGCGGUCUGACCGAUAAAGAUCUUCGUAGAAUAUGUAGGAACCAAUAUGAGCAUCCAGGUUCUGCUAUUGGUUAUUAACCGGAGACGUGUCUCGGUCAUGUCUACAUUGUUCUCGAACCCAUAGGGUCCGCACGCUUAAGGUUUCGAUGACAGUUAUAUUAUGAGUUUAUGAGUUUUGAUGUACCGAAGUUAGUUCGGAGUCCCGGAUGUGAUCACGAACAUGACAAGGAGUCUCGAAAUGGUUGAGACAUAAAGAUUGAUAUAUUGGACGGCUAUAUUCGGACACCGGAAGUGUUCCGGGGAAGUUUCGGAUAAAACCGGAGCACCGGGGGGUUACCGGAACCCCUGGGGGGUUAAUGGGCCUCAUGGGCCUAGAGUGGAGAAGAGGAGGGGCUGCCAGGGCAGGCCGCGCGCCCCCUCUCCCCCUAGUCCGAAUUGGACAAGGAGGGAGGGGCGGCGCCCCCUCUCCUCUCUCCCCUCCUUCCCCCUCUCCUAAUUGGACAAGGAAAGGGAGGGGAGUCCUACUCCCGGUAGGAGUAGGACUCCUCCUGCGCGCCUCCUACUAGGGCCGGCCGCACCCCCCCUUUGGAUCCUUUAUAUACAGAGGCAAGAGGCACCCCAUAGACAAGUUUAUCCACGUGAUCAUAUUCUUAGCCGUGUGCGGUGCCCCCUUCCACCAUAGUCCUCGAUAAUAUUGUAGCGGUGCUUAGGCGAAGCCCUGCGACGGCAGUACAUCAAGAUCAUCACCACGCCGUCGUGCUGACGGAACUCUUCCCCGACACUUUGCUGGAUCGGAGUCCGAGGAUCAUCAUCGAGCUGAACGUGUGCUAGAACUCGAAGGUGCCGUAGUUUCGGUGCUUGAUCGGUCGGGCCGUGGAGACGUACGACUACAUCAACCAAAUGCUUCCGUUGUGGAUCUACAAGGGUACGUAGAUCACACUCUCCCCCUCUCGUUGCUAUGCAUCACCAUGAUCUUGCGUGUGUGUAGGAAUUUUUUUGAAAUUACUACGUUCCCCAACAGUGGCAUCCGAGCCUAGGUUUUAUAUGUUGAUGUUAUAUGCACGAAUACAACACAAGUGAGUUGUGGGCGAUAUAAGUCAUAAUGCUUACCAGCAUGUCAUACUUUGGUUCGGCGGUAUUGUUGGACGAAGUGGCCCGGACCGACAUUACGCGUAUGCUUACGCGAGACCGGUUCUCCCGACGUGCUUUGCACAUAGGUGGCUUGCGGGUGAUAGUUUCUCCAACUUUAGUUGAACCGAGUGUGGCUACGCCCGGUCCUUGCGAAGGUUAAAACAGCACCAACUUGACAAACUAUCGUUGUGGUUUUGAUGCGUAGGUAAGAUUGGUUCUUGCUUAAGCCCGUAGCAGCCACGUAAAACUUGCAACAACAAAGUAGAGGACGUCUAACUUGUUUUUGAAGGGCAUGUUGUGAUGUGAUAUGGUCAAGACAUGAUGCUGAAUUUUAUUGUAUGAGAUGAUCAUGUUUUGUAACCAAGUUAUCGGCAACUGGCAGUAGCCAUAUGGUUGUCGCUUUAUUGUAUGCAAUGCAAUUGCACUGUAAUGCUUUACUUUAUAACUAAACGGUAGCGAUAGUCGUGGAAGCAUAAAAUUGGCGAGAUGACAACGAUGCUACGAUAGGUGAUCAAGGUGUCGCGCCGGUGACGAUGGUGAUCACGACGGUGCUUCGAAGAUGGAGAUCACAAGCACAAGAUGAUGAUGGCCAUAUCAUAUCACUUAUAUUGAUUGCAUGUGAUGUUUAUCUUUUAUGCAUCUUAUCUUGCUUUGUUUGACGGUAGCAUUAUAAGAUGAUCUCUCACUAAUUAUCAAGAAGUGUUCUCCCUGAGUAUGCACCAUUGCGAAAGUUCUUCGUGCUGAGACACCACGUGAUGAUCGGGUGUGAUAGGCUCUACGUUCAAAUACAACGGGUGCAAAACAGUUGCACACGCGGAUACUCAGGUUAUACUUGACGAGCCAAGCAUAUACAGAUAUGGCCUCGGAACACGGAGACCGAAAGGUCGAGCGUGAAUCAUAUAGUAGAUAUGAUCAACAUAGUGAUGUUCACCAAUGAAACUACUCCAUCUCACGUGAUGAUCGGACAUGGUUUAGUUGAUUUGGAUCAUGUGAUCACUUAGAGGAUUAGAGGGAUGUCUAUCUAAGUGGGAGUUCUUAAGUAAUAUGAUUAAUUGAACUUAAAUUUAUCAUGAACUUAGUCCUGGUAGUAUUUUGCAAAUUAUGUUGUAGAUCAAUAGCUCGCGUUGUUGCUUCCCUGUGUUUAUUUUGAUAUGUUCCUAGAGAAAAUUGUGUUGAAAGAUGUUAGUAGCAAUGAUGCAGAUUGGAUCCGUGAUCUGAGGUUUAUCCUCAUUGCUGCACAGAAGAAUUUUGUCCUUGAUGCACCGCUAGGUGACGGACCUAUUGCAGGAGCAGAUGCAUGCGUUAUGAAUGUUUGGCUAGCUCAAUAUGAUGACUACUUGAUAGUUUAGUGCACCUUGCUUAAUGGCUUAGAAUCGGGACUUCAAAGACGUUUUGAACGUCAUGGAGCAUAUGAGAUGUUCCAGGAGUUGAAGUUAAUAUUUCAAGCAAAUACCCGAGUUGAGAGAUAUGAAGUCUCCAACAAGUUCUAUAGCCAAAAGAUGGAGGAGAAUCGCUCAACGAGUGAGCAUGUGCUCAGAUUGUCUGGGUACUACAAUCGCUUGAAUCAAGUGGGAGUUAAUCUUCCAGAUAAGAUAGUGAUUGACAGAAUUCUCUAGUCACCAUCACCAAGUUAGUAGAACUUCGUGAUGAACUAUAGUAUGCAAGGGAUGACGAAAACGACUCCCGAGCUUUUCAUAAUGAUGAAAUUGAUGAAGGUAGAAAUCAAGAAAGAGCAUCAAGUGUUGAUGGUAGUCAAGACCACUAGUUUCAAUAAAAGGGCAAAGGGAAGAAGGGGAACUUCAAGAAGAACAACAAGCAAGUUGCUGCUCAAGUGAAGAAGCCCAAGUCUAGUCCUAAGCCUGAGACUAAGUGCUUCUACUGCAAAGGGACUGGUCACUGGAAGCGGAACUGCCCCAUGUAUUUGGCGGAUAAGAAGGAUGGCAAAGUGAACAAAGGUAUAUUUGAUAUACAAAUUAUUAAUGUGUAUUUUACUAGUGUUCGUAGCAACCCCUCGGUAUUUGAUACUGGUUCAGUUGCUAAGAGUAGUAACUCGAAACGGGAGUUGUAGAAUGAACAAAAACUAGUUAAGGGUGAAGUGACGAUGUGUGUUGGAAGUAGUUCCAAGAUUGAUAUGAUCAUCAUCGCACACUCUCUAUACUUUCGGGAUUAGUGUUGAACCUACAUAUGUGUUAUUUGGUGUUUGCAUUGAGCAUGAAUAUGAUUUGAUCAUGUUUAUUGCAAUACGGUUAUUCAUUUAAGUUAGAGAAUAAUUGUUGUUCUGUUUACAUGAAUAAAACCUUAUAUGGUUACACACCCAAUGAAAAUAGUUCGUUGGAUCUCGAUCGUAGUGAUACACAUAAUCAUAAUAUUGAAACCAAAAGAUGCAAAGUUAAUAAUGGUAGUGCAACUUAUUUGUGGCACUGCCGUUUAGGUCAUAUUGGUGUAAAGCGCAUGAAGAAACUCCAUGCUGAUGGGAUUUUGGAAUCACUUGAUUAUGAAUCACUUGAUGCUUGCGAACCAUGCCUUAUGGGCAAGAUGACUAAGACUCCGUUCUCCGGAACAAUGGAGCGAGCAACUGACUUAUUGGAAAUAAUACAUACUGAUGUAUGUGAUCCGAUGAGUGUUGAGGCUCACGGCGGGUCUCGUUAUUUUCUGACCUUCACAGAUGAUUUGAGUAGAUAUGGGUAUAUCUACUUGAUGAAACACAAGUCUGAAACAUUUGAAAAGUUCAAAGAAUUUCAGAGUGAAGUGGAGAAUCAUCGUAACAAAAAUAAAAAGUUUCUACAAUAUGAUCGCAGAAGUAAAAUAUUUGAGUUACGAGUUUGGCCUUCAGUUAAAAACAAUGUGAAAUAGUUUCACUACUCACGCCACCUGGAACACCACAGCAUAAUGGUGUGUCCGAACGUCAUAACCGUACUUUAUUAGAUAUGGUGCAAACUAUGAUGUCUCUUACCAAUCUACCACUAUCGUUUUGGGAUUAUGCAUUAGAGACAGCUGCAUUCACAUUAAAUAGGGCACCAUCUAAAUCCGUUGAAACGACACCGUAUGAACUAUGGUUUGGCAAGAAACCUAAGCUGUCGUUUCUUAAAGUUUGAGGUUGCAUUGCUUAUGUGAAAAAGUUUCAACCUGAUAAGCUCAAACCCAAAUCGGAGAAGUAUGUCUUCAUAGGAUACCCAAAGGAGACUGUUGGGUACACCUUCUAUCACAAAUUCGAAGGCAAGACUUUUGUUGCUAAAUUCAGAGUUUUUCUAGAGAAGGAGUUUCUCUCGAAAGAAGUGAGUGGGAGGAAAGUAGAACUUGAUGAGGUAACUGUACCUGCUCCCUUAUUGGAAAGUAGUUCAUUACAGAAAUCUGUUCUUGUGACUACUACACCAAUUAGUGAGGAAGCUAAUGAUGAUGAUCAUGUAACUUCAGAUCAAGUUAUUACCGAAUCUCGUAGGUAAACCAGAGUGAGAUCCGCACCAGAGUGGUACGGAAAUCCUGUUCUGGAAGUCAUGUUACUAGACCAUGACGAAUUUGCAAACUAUGAGGAAGCAAUGAUGAGCCCAGAUUCCGCGAAAUGGUUUGAGGCCAUAAAAUCUGAGAUAUGAUCCAUGUAUGAGAACAAAGUAUGGACUUUGAUGGAUUUGCCCGAUGAUCGGCAAGCCAUAGAAAAUAAAUGGAUCUUCAAGAGGAAGACGGACGCUGAUAGUAGUGUUACUAUCUACAAAGCUAGAAUUGUCGAAAAAGGUUUUUGACAAGUUCAAGGUGUUGACUACGAUGAGAUUUUCUCACUCGUAUAUAUGCUUAAGUCUGUCCGAAUCAUGUUAGCAAUUGCCGCAUUUUAUGAAAUCUGGCAAAUGGAUAAACAAAACUGCAUUCCUUAAUGGAUUUCUUAAAGAAGAGUUGUAUAUGAUGCAACCAGAAGGUUUUGUCAAUCCUAAAGGUGUUAACAAAAUAUGCAAGCUCCAACGAUCCAUCUAUGGACUAGUGCAAGCAUCUCGGAGUUGGAAUAUACGCUUUGAUAAGUUGAUUAAAGCAUAUAGUUUUAUACAGACUUACGGUGAAGCCUGUAUUUACAAGAAAGUGAGUGGGAGCACUACAACAUUUCUGAUAAGUAUAUGUGAACAACAUAUUGUUGAUCGGAAAUAAUGUAUAAUUUUAUGGAAAGCAUAAAGGAAUAUUUGAAAGGAGUUUUUCAAAGAAAGACCUCGGUAAAGCUGCUUACAUAUUGAGUAUCAAGAUCUAUAGAGAUAGGUUAAGACGCUUGAUAAGUUUUUUCAAUGAGUACAUACCUUGACAAGAUUUUGAAGUAGUUCAAAAUGGAACAGUCAAAGAAAGAGUUCUUGCCUGUGUUGCAAGGUGUGAAAUUGAGUAAGACUCAAAGCCCGACCACGGCAGAAGAUAGAAAUAGAAUGAAAUUCAUUCCCUAUGCCUCAGCCAUAGGUUCUAUAAAGUAUGCCAUGCUGUGUACCAGAUCUAUUGUAUACCCUACACUGUGUUAAGCAAGGGAGUACAAUAGUGAUCUAAGAGUAGAUCACUGGACAGAGGUCAAAAUUAUCCUUAGUGGAAUAAGGAAAUAUUUCUCAAUUAUGGAGGUGACAAAAAAGUUCGUCGUAAAAAGUUACGUCGAUGCAAGGUUUGACACAGAUUUGGAUGACUCUAAGUCUCGAUCCAGAUACAUAUUGAAAGUGGGAGAAAUAGGCUAGAGUAGCUCCGUGCAGAGCAUUGUUGACAUAGAAAUUCACAAAAUACUUACGGAUCUGAAUAUGACAGACCCGUUGACUAAAAUUAUCUCACAAGCAAAACAUGAUCACACCUUAGUACUCUUUGGGUGUUAAUCACAUAGCGAUGUGAACUAGAUUACUGACUCUAGUAAACCCUUUGGGUGUUGAUCACAUAUCGAUGUGAACUAUGGGUGUUAAUCACAUGGUGAUGUGAACUAUUGCUAUUAAAUCACAUGGCGAUGUGAACUAGAUUAUUGACUCUAGUGCAAGUGGGAGAUUGAAGGAAAUAUGCCCUAGAGGCAAUAAUAAAGUUAUUAUUUAUUUCCUUAUAUCAUGAUAAAUGUUUAUUAUAAAUGCUAGAAUUGUAUUAACCGGAAACAUAAUACUUGUGUGAAUACAUAGACAAACAAAAUGUCACUAGUAUGCCUCUACUUGACUAGCUCGUUAAUCAAAGAUGGUUAUCUUUCCUAAUCAUAAACAAAAGAGUUGUUAUUUGAUUAACGGGAUCACAUGAUUAGGAGAAUGAUGUGAUUGACAUGACCCAAUCCAUUAGCGUAGCACCCGAUCGUUUAGUAUGUUGCUAUUGCUUUCUUCAUGACUUAUACAUGUUCCUAUGACUAUGAGAUUAUGCAACUCCCGUUUGCCGGAGGAACACUUUGUGUGCUACCAAACGUCACAACGUAACUGGGUGAUUAUAAAGGAGCUCUACAGGUGUCUCCAAAGGUACAUGUUGGCUUGGCGUAUUUCGAGAUUAGGAUUUGUCACUCUGAUUGUCGGAGAGGUAUCUCUGGGCCCUCUCGGUAAUGCACAUCACAUAAGCCUUGCAAGCAUUGCAACUAAUGAGUUAGUUGUGAGAUGAUGUAUUACGGAACGAGUAAAGAGACUUGUCGGUAAUGAGAUUGAACUAGGUAUUGAGAUACCGACGAUCGAAUCUCGGGCAAGUAACAUACCGAUGACAAAGGGAACAACGUAUGUUGUUAUGCGGUCUGACCGAUAAAGAUCUUCGUAGAAUAUGUAGGAACCAAUAUGAGCAUCCAGGUUCCGCUAUUGGUUAUUGACCGGAGACGUGUCUCGGUCAUGUCUACAUUGUUCUCGAACCCGCAGGGUCCGCAUGCUUAAGGUUUCGAUGACAGUUAUAUUAUGAGUUUAUGAGUUUUGAUGUACCGAAGUUAGUUCGGAGUCCCGGAUGUGAUCACGGACAUGACGAGGAGUCUCGAAAUGGUCGAGACAUAAGGAUUGAUAUAUUGGAUGGCUAUAUUCGGACACCGGAAGUGUUCCGGGGAAGUUUCGGAUAAAACCGGAGCACCGGGGGGUUACCGGAACCCCCCAGGGGGUUAAUGGGCCUCAUGGGCCUAGAGUGGAGAAGAGGAGGGGCUGCCAGGGAAUGCCGCGCGCCCCCUCUCCCCCUAGUCCAAAUUGGACAAGGAGGGAGGGGCGGCGCCCCCUCUCCUCUCUCCCUUCCUUCCCCCUCUCCUAAUUGGACAAGGAAAGGGAGGGGAGUCCUACUCCCGGUAGGAGUAGGACUCCUCCUGCGCGCCUCCUACUAGGGCCGGCCACACCCCCCCUUUGGAUCCUUUAUAUAUGGAGGCAAGAGGCACCCCAUAGACAAGUUGAUCAACGUGAUCAUAUUCUUAGCCGUGUGCGGUGCCCCCUUCCACCAUAGUCCUCGAUAAUAUUGUAGCGGUGCUUAGGCGAAGCCCUGCGACGGUAGUACAUCAAGAUCGUCACCACGCCAUCGUGCUGAUGGAACUCUUCCCCGACACUUUGCUGGAUCGGAGUCCGGGGAUUGUCAUCGAGCUGAACGUGUGCUAGAACUCGGAGGUGCCGUAGUUUCGGUGCUUGAUCGGUCGGGCCGUGGAGACGUACGACUACAUCAACCAAACGCUUCCAUUGUCGAUCUACAAGGGUACGUAGAUCACACUCUCCCCCUCUUGUUGCUAUGCAUCACCAUGAUCUUGCGUGUGCGUAGGAAUUUUUUUGAAAUUACUACGUUCCCCAACACGAGACUGCUAGGGUUUCACAAAGUCCUGAACUCGGUCUCGCCGAUUCGUAAUUCUCGGUCAGACCGACAACCACAUGUGCAAUGGCAGUGGCCGAAUCGGUGGAACCAACUUCCACUACCCGGUGGGUCUGAGAUGGUUUCGGCGGAAACCUAAACCUAAAUUUUCGAAUCGCAACUAUUCUACAGAUUGAUUUGACUGGAUAGGAGUGUUUCAAUAGUAGCAAGGAUCACAAUGAACACAAUGUUCUAGGAAUCAUACGGGGAUAGCACUGUGAUCGAGUCCAUACCCUAGUUCGGCGGUGGACUCGCUACGGCGGCAACGGCAGAGGCGAAAUCCGUUGACGGCGGCGGAGACCAGCGACAGGAGGCGGCUGGCGACGAGGAGGACGAUCCAGAGACCCAGGAGGCAGAGCGAGCUAUGCGCAGGCGAAGAGGUUUCAGAGAAAUUUCCAAAAUUUUGCCUGUGAGUAUAUAUAGCCCGACCCUGUCGGUGUGACCGAGUGGAACAACUCGGUGGCACCGAGAUGCAUAACUAUUGACAGUUACAGCAACUCAGUGUGACCGAAAAGUUCAAAACGGUUGCACCGAGGUGAAAACCUAGAUCGACUUAGUGAUCUCGGUAUGACCGAAAUGGAGGAAUCGGUCAGACCGAAAAGCACAAAGAAGUUUUGGAAGUUUAAGUCUAUGACAAAUCGGGGACUCCGAGUGCUCCUCACACAGAGUGGUUUGAAUCUGACUUGAUCAAAUUUUGUGAUGUAGCAUGAAUAGAG
rnacentral:lncRNA from 1 species